CAAGUCGAACGAGAAAGUGGAGCAAUCCAUGAGUAAAGUGGCGCACGGGUGAGUAACACGUGACUAACCUACCCUUGAGUGGGGAAUAACCUAGGGAAACCUGGGCUAAUACCGCAUAACACCUACGGGUCAAAGGAGCAAUUCGCUUAAGGAGGGGGUCGCGGCAGAUUAGCUAGUUGGCGGGGUAAUGGCCCACCAAGGCGGUGAUCUGUAUCCGGCCUGAGAGGGCGCACGGACACACUGGAACUGAAACACGGUCCAGACUCCUACGGGAGGCAGCAGUGGGGAAUUUUGCGCAAUGGGGGAAACCCUGACGCAGCAACGCCGCGUGGAGGAUGAAGUCCCUUGGGACGUAAACUCCUUUCGAUCGGGACGAUUAUGACGGUACCGGAGGAAGAAGCCCCGGCUAACUUCGUGCCAGCAGCCGCGGUAAUACGAGGGGGGCAAGCGUUGUUCGGAAUUAUUGGGCGUAAAGGGUGCGUAGGCGGUUCGGUAAGUCUUAUGUGAAAUCUUCAGGCUCAACUUGAAGUCUGCAUGAGAAACUGCCGGGCUUGAGUGUGGGAGAGGUGAGUGGAAUUUCCGGUGUAGCGGUGAAAUGCGUAGAUAUCGGAAGGAACACCUGUGGCGAAAGCGGCUCACUGGACCAUAACUGACGCUGAUGCACGAAAGCUAGGGGAGCAAACAGGAUUAGAUACUCUGGUAGUCCUAGCCCUAAACGAUGAUCGCUUGGUGUGACGGGUACCCAAUCCCGCCGUGCCGAAGCUAACGCGUUAAGCGAUCCGCCUGGGGAGUACAGUCGCAAGGCUGAAACUCAAAGGAAUUGACGGGGCCCGCACAAGCGGUGGAGCAUGUGGUUUAAUUCGACGCAACGCGAAGAACCUUACCUGGGCUCGAAAUGUACAGGAAUCCGGUGGAAACAUCGGCGCCCGCAAGGGGCCUGUAUAUAGGUGCUGCAUGGCUGUCGUCAGCCCGUGU
rnacentral:rRNA from 1 species